GGGAAACUUACACAACUUUACGAUCCAACACCCGUUUUUCGGUCUUAGGGAAACUUACACGUCUUUACGAUCCAACACCCGUUUUCGGUCUUAGGGAAACUUACACGUCUUUACGAUCCAAAACCCCUUUUCGGUCAUUAGGGUCAGUGGGUUUGGGCAAGGGUUAGCCAUAAAUUCUUACCUUUUCAAGCGUUAAUCCAGUUAAUCCCAUUGGUCGGUCAUGUUGACAUAAACAAUUGCGGGUGUGGUUUCAAGAAAAGAUGAAUAGGGGGUGUAAGUAGGUCACGGGACUACGCGAGACCUAACGUUAUUUAGUACAUCCGGUGACAAACAACGUCUCGCGGCAAUGGCGACAGCAGUGUCACGUCGGACAGGGCCCGGCGAAUCAUAUUUGGAACACGCAGGUGUAACUUAGAAAAACAUGACACUGUCACAGUCAUUAAAACACUCGAGAUGGGGAACAUGAAUAGCAAGUGUUGGCUUGUCAAAGCAGUUGCAGUGUUGUCAAGACGUCCUAUGGUCGAUGUCAAACUGGCCGCUACCCAUUCAUAAAUAUUGAGUUGGGCCAUAUUUCCAUGUUUGAGGGGAGAAAGAUUUCCUCAUCUGACUCACGAGUAGAUGCAUAUGGAUCACCAGAAUUACCUUGAUGCCAAACAUAACUGCACCUCAAGAGCAUCUCGGACUAUAACAUAUUUCUUGGAAUAUUUUGUGGUCAAGCAUUGCAUUGCCUAUGAAAGAACAACUCUUGUUGUGUAUACAGGUGUAAACAUAUUAAAGUUCUAUCUGAAGUACUGGUUCUGUAAAUGAUGUCUGUGACCAUCAGAAUACACCAUAUACACUGGACACUUGCUGGAACAGGACCUACUUGUCAUCAACAUGGUGUUGCAGAACAUCUUGGGACUCUCUCAUAAAGUCCAGUGUGAAUCUAGAUACUGACACCAGUAACAGUGCAUGCUGGCACAUUUAUUUGUUCAGGCUUGGCAUUUUGGAAUAUUUGCCAUGAAUGUUUAAUACUCAUGACCUUGGAAUAAAAUUACUGAAUAGA